rnacentral:miRNA from 1 species
CCAGAUGAUCAUAAUCUCCUGA